GCAUUGGUGCUUCAGUUGUAGAAUUUCUGCCUUCCAUGUAGGAGAUCUGGGUUCAAUUCAUAGCCAAUGGA
rnacentral:tRNA from 1 species